GAGGAUGGAGCUAGGGGCUGAGAAAGCUAGGGCAGAGCUCUAGAUCCCCGAAUUUUAGUGUGGGGGAGAGCUUGCUGUUGGGGAUCCAGACAUUAUAAAGGAGUUCUGGCCCACUUGUGAGAUUGGAGAGAAAGAUCUGAGGCUGUGACUCCAACGUCCUGGGGAAGAGGGAGCUUAAGAGACCCGCUUGAAGAUCCUGAGAGAAAGAAUGUGAGCCUGGGGGUGGGAGGGUCCUGGGCUCAGAGAAAGGGGACCUCCCUGCGCCUGAGGUCCGUGUCUGGGGACCUCUGCGCCUCACCUUCCAGAAUGCAAGGGGCGGGGUCACUCGGACUCGGUGGAAGAGGCCCCCGGACUUCCCUUCGGUGUGUCGGGUACAAGAUUUUGCAGCCUUUUAACGAGGAAGCCCCGCCCACGGCCCCGCCUUCUGCCCGCACCUUGCUGCGGUGCGGCUGAACCCGCAAGCGCUCGAGGAGGGGCACGGGCUGGAGUGACUUUAGGAGGAGGGACUGGAGCCUCGGAAACCGAGGUUUAUGUUUGCAGAGCAAAAGAACCAGAUACCAAAGAAGACAAGAUAAACGGCCCAGAUGAUCCCACCUCGCAGACUGACUCAAUAGCCGUUUCUUCAAGAAUCUGCAUCCAGAAUGACUUCAAGAUGGCUAAAUAAGAUAGACAGCUCUCGUUGGCCUGAGGAUAGAUUGAGGAAGUCCUGGGUAUCCUCCUGUUUCCACCUCUCCAGCCCUGGGAUUACAGAUGUACUACCAUGCCCUGCUUUUCAUAUGGGUUCUGGGGAUGGAACUCAGUAAGUACUCACAUCCUAGAAAUUGACUACAGAUUUCUAGAUGUGGCAGUACCUUGACCCACCGAGCCAUCACUGCAGCCCAGAUUAUAUAGUAUGUCCAGACUAUGAAGAGCCUGCCAGUUGGAAUAAAUGAAUUCAAUAAAGUUGCAGGACACAAAACCAACACACAAAAAUAGAUUUUGUUUCUCCACACUAACAACAAACUACAAGAAAAAAGAAGACAUGAGUUCAGUUCCCAGCACCCACAUUAGGUGACUCAUAACCUCCUGUAACUCCAGCCCUAAGGGGUUCCAACAACCUCUUCUGGCCUCAUCAGAGACAGUAAGAGUUUUGGAAGCAGACGUCUUUGGAUGAAGAUAUUGAUGCAGAGCAUUUGCACUCCAGCCUCUGGGCUCAGUGAGUCUCAAACUGUGACAACAAGCUGUGAGAGAGAUUCCAGAGCCAAGACCCGGGGACGGGGACGGAAGGUGGAGCCUGGAAUAAAGGCAAAGCUAUUGGGUCUGAGGGAGGAAGCUGGUCUGAGGGAAGGAGCCAGGGACCUCAGGGGGGCCUGGGCCUGAAGUAAGAGGCUAGGGUCUGGAGUCUCAAGUGAGAAGAAGAAGAAG
ensembl:processed_transcript 2310002F09Rik RIKEN cDNA 2310002F09 gene